AAAUUGGCGGGGUGCUAUACAUGCAGUCGAGCGACAGAUGAGAAGCUUGCUUCUCUGAUGUUAGCGGCGGACGGGUGAGUAACACGUGGGUAACCUACCUAUAAGACUGGGAUAACUCCGGGAAACCGGGGCUAAUACCGGAUAAUAUUUUGAACCGCAUGGUUCAAUAGUGAAAGACGGUUUCGGCUGUCACUUAUAGAUGGACCCGCGCCGUAUUAGCUAGUUGGUAAGGUAACGGCUUACCAAGGCGACGAUACGUAGCCGACCUGAGAGGGUGAUCGGCCACACUGGAACUGAGACACGGUCCAGACUCCUACGGGAGGCAGCAGUAGGGAAUCUUCCGCAAUGGGCGAAAGCCUGACGGAGCAACGCCGCGUGAGUGAUGAAGGUCUUCGGAUCGUAAAACUCUGUUGUUAGGGAAGAACAAAUUUGUUAGUAACUGAACAAGUCUUGACGGUACCUAACCAGAAAGCCACGGCUAACUACGUGCCAGCAGCGGGCGGUAAU
rnacentral:rRNA from 2 species